rnacentral:misc_RNA from 1 species
GAUGAAGAACGUAGCGAAAUGCGAUAAGUAAUGUGAAUUGCAGAAUUCAGUGAAUCAUCGAAUCUUUGAACGCACAUUGCGCCCGCCAGUAUUCUGGCGGGCAUGCCUGUUCGGGCGUCAUUUCAACCAUCAAGCCCCAGGCUUGUGUUGGAGCCCUGCGGCUGCCGCAGCCUCCCAAAACCAGUGGCGGGCUCGCUAUCACACCGAGUGCAGUAGUUUACUCUUCGCUCAGGGCGUGUGGCGGGUGCUAGCCGUAAAACCCCCAACUUCUCAAGGUUGACCUCGGAUCAGGUAGGAAUACCCGCUGAACUUAAGCAUAUCAAUAAGCGGAGGA